rnacentral:lncRNA from 1 species
UUUUGUUUUUGGCUUGGUCUAGCACUGUUAAUUAGUUAUCAUGACUUAAUGUGUAAUACUCCAAUAUGAGUUUCGGCAUCCCGGCGCAGGCGAUCGGCACUCUCCUAGUCCUAGGCGAUCGACGAUCGACGCUCUCCCAAUCCCAGGCCAUCGGCGCAGGCGAGCGUUCCUUUAGUUGUUUCCCACUCCCAGUCCUAGACCCAGACAGUCAGAUAGACAGUCAGCAGUUUUGAGCAGCACUAAAGCACAAGCAGUAGCUACUAGUAAGGUAUGGUUGAUCAGUUUUAGUUUCUCAGUUC